rnacentral:rRNA from 1 species
GAUGAACGCUGGCGGCGUGCCUAAUACAUGCAAGUCGAGCGAACGGACGAGAAGCUUGCUUUUCUGAUGUUAGCGGCGGACGGGUGAGUAACACGUGGAUAACCUACCUAUAAGACUGGGAUAACUUCGGGAAACCGGAGCUAAUACCGGAUAAUAUUUUGAACCGCAUGGUUCAAAAGUGAAAGACGGUCUUGCUGUCACUUAUAGAUGGAUCCGCGCUGCAUUAGCUAGUUGGUAAGGUAACGGCUUACCAAGGCAACGAUGCAUAGCCGACCUGAGAGGGUGAUCGGCCACACUGGAACUGAGACACGGUCCAGACUCCUACGGGAGGCAGCAGUAGGGAAUCUUCCGCAAUGGGCGAAAGCCUGACGGAGCAACGCCCGUGAGUGAUGAAGGUCUUCGGAUCGUAAAACUCUGUUAUUAGGGAAGAACAUAUGUGUAAGUAACUGUGCACAUCUUGACGGUACCUAAUCAGAAAGCCACGGCUAACUACGUG